GAUGAACGCUGACAGAAUGCUUAACACAUGCAAGUCUACUUGAUCCUUCGGGUGAAGGUGGCGGACGGGUGAGUAACGCGUAAAGAACUUGCCUUACAGACUGGGACAACAUUUGGAAACGAAUGCUAAUACCGGAUAUUAUGACUGAGUCGCAUGAUUUGGUUAUGAAAGCUAUAUGCGCUGUGAGAGAGCUUUGCGUCCCAUUAGUUAGUUGGUGAGGUAACGGCUCACCAAGACGAUGAUGGGUAGCCGGCCUGAGAGGGUGAACGGCCACAAGGGGACUGAGACACGGCCCUUACUCCUACGGGAGGCAGCAGUGGGGAAUAUUGGACAAUGGACCAAAAGUCUGAUCCAGCAAUUCUGUGUGCACGAUGAAGUUUUCGGAAUGUAAAGUGCUUUCAGUUGGGAAGAAGUCAGUGACGGUACCAACAGAAGAAGCGACGGCUAAAUACGUGCCAGCAGCCGCGGUAAUACGUAUGUCGCAAGCGUUAUCCGGCAUUUAUCUGGGCGUAAAGCGCGUCUAGGCCGGUUUAGUAAACGUCUGAUGUGAAAAUGCGGGGCUCAACCCGUAUUGCGUCGGAAACUGUAAACUAGAGUACUUGGCACGAGGUAGGCGGAACUACACGUGUAAACGGUGAAAUCGUCAAAUCAUUUGUAAGACAUGCCCGGAUGGG
rnacentral:rRNA from 1 species